rnacentral:rRNA from 3 species
ACCCUUUAACGUUUGAUGUUCUAACCCGGGUCCAUAAUCUGGAUCGGGGACCGUGUCUGGUGGGUAGUUUGACUGGGGCGGUCUCCUCCCAAAGAGUAACGGAGGAGCACGAAGGUUGGCUAAGCAUGGUCGGACAUCAUGCGGUUAGUGCAAAGGCAUAAGCCAGCUUGACUGCGAGAGUGACGGCUCGAGCAGGUACGAAAGUAGGUCUUAGUGAUCCGGUGGUUCUGAAUGGAAGGGCCAUCGCUCAACGGAUAAAAGGUACUCCGGGGAUAACAGGCUGAUACCGCCCAAGAGUUCAUAUCGACGGCGGUGUUUGGCACCUCGAUGUCGGCUCAUCACAUCCUGGGGCUGAAGUAGGUCCCAAGGGUAUGGCUGUUCGCCAUUUAAAGUGGUACGCGAGCUGGGUUUAGAACGUCGUGAGACAGUUCGGUCCCUAUCUGCCGUGGGCGCUGGAAGAUUGAGAGGGGUUGCUCCUAGUACGAGAGGACCGGAGUGAACGCACCACUGGUGUACGGGUUGUGAUGCCAAUUGCAUUGCCCGGUAGCUAAGUGCGGAAGAGAUAACCGCUGAAAGCAUCUAAGCGGGAAACUUGCCUCGAGAUGAGUCUUCCCUGACCCUUUAAGGGUCCUGAAGGAACGUUUGAGACUAAGACGUUGAUAGGCUGGGUGUGUAAGCGCAGCGAUGCGUUGAG